rnacentral:rRNA from 1 species
AUGGAGGAGGAGGACGACGACCAGCGCCUGCUGCACAGCCUCGGCGUCACCUCCGCCAACAUCGACGACAUCGAGAGGAAGAUCCUGUCGCAGGCGAAAACCGACCCGCAGAAGGGCGACACCGAGGCGUCGGGGCUGACCGCCGUCGGUGACCAGGAGAAUAAACUCACAACGCUUCAAGAUGAUGCUCAGGCCAAACUGCACCAGCAACUGCGCUCCGUGCAGCUUGAGAUCGAUGCUGUGGCUUCCACACUCGGAGGGGCUAAACAAGCUGCUGGAAAGAAAAGCGGCGGUGGCAGCUCGGGUAGCACUGAUGCCGAGGAUAAGAAGAAGAAGAAGAAGGAGAAGGUGAAGGAGGAGGAGAAUGCUGAAGAAGACGCCCCUCGUGGAGGUGCCCUCCAGCAAGCGCUUGCCGCCGAGCGGCUCAGGAGUCUCAAGAGGGCUAAGGUGCAGAUUCAGAAAGAGAUAUUGCAGUCGGGACCUGGCCCGUCCGGGUCGGGCAACCAAAAAGACAAGAUGCUGGCAAUGUUGGUUGAAGAUGAGCUGAGGCGGAAGAAGUCGCUGAAGCCGCCUGGUGGGCCUAAGAAGAAGUCGCCGACGCGUCGGAUGAAAACCGUCACCUAUGAUGACGACGACGACUUCGAUGCAGUGCUCGAUGGAGCUUCUGCGGGGUUCAUGGAGACUGAAAGGGAAGAGCUGAUCAGGAAGGGUUUGCUAACACCGUUUCACAAGUUGAAGGGCUUUGAGAAGCGGGUUGAAAGCCCUGGAACUCCUAGCAGGCAAAAUGACUCUGCAGAACAAGCCGAGGAAACCAUGGAAGCUUCCAGCAUUGCUAAAGUUGCUCAGGCAAUGCAGAACAUGGCACAAAGCCGCCCAACUACCAAAUUGCUUGAUGCGGAGUUCUUGCCUAAGCUCGAUGCACCGACUGCUCCGUUUCAAAGGCUUGGAGUACCUCUAAAACGCCCUGGCCUUCCCAGUUCAGACGAGCGGAAAAACAAAAGGCUAAAGAGUAAGACCAAGAGACCGUUGCCUGGCAAGAAAUGGAUGAAAGCCAAUUCAAAGAAGGAGUCAUUAUUGGAUGUUGCAGAUGAGGAUGUGGGAGAUGCAGCUGCAUCAGCUUCAGUUGCAGAUGAGGAUGUGGGAGAUGCAGCUGCAUCAGCUUCUGUGUCUGAGAAUGAAGAUGAGGUAAUAGAAGGUUCUGAUGGGUUACCUCCAGUCAUCCUUGAAGGUGGUUUAAGAAUUCCUGGCUCAGUUUACACACAGCUGUUUGACUACCAAAAAGUGGGAGUGCAGUGGUUAUGGGAGUUACAUUGUCAAAGGGCUGGUGGAAUAAUUGGCGAUGAAAUGGGCUUAGGAAAGACCGUGCAGGUCUUAUCAUUUCUUGGUGCUUUGCAUGACAGUGGUAUGUACAAGCCUAGUAUUGUUAUCUGUCCUGUGACCCUUUUGCAACAGUGGCGAAGGGAGGCCAGUAAGUGGUAUCCAAAAUUCAAAGUUGAGAUCUUACAUGAUUCUGCAAACAGUUCAAGUAAAAAGGGCAAGAGAUACAGUGAUUCUGAGAGUGAUGUUUCUUGGGAUAGCGAUCAGGAAGAGGUUACACGUACGAAGCCUGCACAGAAGUGGGAUGACUUGAUUUCACGUGUUGUAAAUUCAGGGUCAGGUUUGCUUCUGACGACAUACGAGCAGCUAAGAAUCAUACGGGAGAAGUUGCUUGAUGUAGAAUGGGGAUAUGCUGUAUUGGAUGAGGGUCACCGCAUAAGGAAUCCUAAUGCCGAAGUAACUCUCGUGUGCAAGCAAUUGCAGACUGUGCACAGGAUAAUUAUGACAGGGGCGCCUAUUCAGAAUAAACUUUCGGAACUGUGGUCUCUCUUUGAUUUUGUGUUCCCUGGGAAAUUAGGAGUCCUGCCAGUGUUUGAGACCGAGUUCUCUGUUCCAAUUACUGUCGGUGGGUAUGCUAAUGCAACACCAUUGCAAGUGUCCACAGCGUACAGAUGUGCUGUUGUCCUGCGUGACUUGAUCAUGCCAUAUCUUCUUAGGAGAAUGAAAGCUGAUGUCAAUGCACAGCUUCCCAAGAAAACAGAGCAGGUUCUUUUCUGUAGUUUAACUCAAGAGCAACGUGCUACUUAUCGCGCAUUUCUUGCUAGUUCAGAGGUGGAACAAAUAUUUGAUGGUAACAGAAACUCCCUUUAUGGGAUAGAUGUCCUAAGGAAGAUAUGUAAUCAUCCUGAUCUUCUUGAGAGAGAACAAGCCGCUCAGAAUCCUGAUUAUGGGAAUAUUGAAAGAAGUGGAAAGAUGAAAGUGGUUGAGCAAGUACUUAAAGUCUGGAAAGAUCAAGGUCAUCGCGUUCUUCUUUUUGCUCAGACCCAACAGAUGCUUGACAUUUUGGAGAACUUCUUGACUGCCCGCGACUACCAAUAUCGACGAAUGGAUGGACUUACACCUCCAAAGCAAAGAAUGGCACUCAUUGAUGAGUUCAAUAAUACAAAUGAAAUUUUCAUUUUCAUUCUGACAACAAAAGUUGGUGGAUUGGGUACGAAUUUGACUGGUGCAAACAGGGUUAUAAUAUUCGAUCCUGACUGGAACCCUUCGACAGACAUGCAGGCCAGGGAACGAGCAUGGCGAAUUGGGCAAAAAAGAGAUGUGACAGUUUACAGGUUGAUCACACGUGGGACGAUAGAGGAGAAAGUCUACCAUCGACAGAUAUACAAGCAUUUUCUCACAAACAAAGUACUGAAAAACCCUCAGCAAAGGAGGUUCUUUAAAGCCAGAGACAUGAAAGAUUUAUUCACAUUGCAAGAUGAUGACAAGAAUGGUUCAACUGAAACAUCAAACAUUUUUGGCCAACUGUCUGAAGAUGUGAACAUCGGUGCUCCAGAUGGCGAGGAGCGAGGCGAGCGAUCUUCAGCUUUACCGACCAGCGCAGAGGCUGAACCAUCUGUUGAUGGAGAUGGGAAAUCAGACCUUAGAUCUGACCAAGCGGAUGAAGAAUCCAACAUUUUGAAGAGUCUUUUUGAUGGCCAGGGCGUUCAUAGUGCUAUAAAUCAUGAUGCCAUAAUGAGUGCUAACGACGAUCAGAAGCUGCGGCUAGAAGCAGAGGCUUCACAGGUGGCACAAAGGGCAGCCGAGGCUUUACGCCAAUCACGGAUGCUCAGAAGCCGUGAUGAUUUUGCUGUUCCCACAUGGACAGGAAGAGCCGGUGCUGCCGGGGCGCCGUCCUCUGUCCGCAGGAAAUUUGGGUCAACACUCAACACCCAGCUGGUUAGUUCUUCGCAGCCAUCAGAAGGUUCAAGCAGCAGCAGAGUUCAAAGUCUUCAGGUGGGCGCUCUACAUGGAAAAGCGCUGUCCUCCGCCGAGCUUCUGGCUAAGAUGCGUGGAACGCGAGAGGGGGCAGCUUCAGAUGCACUGGAACAUCAGCUCAGCCUGGGCUCCGCUUCCAACCAGAGACCAGGCUCGACAGAGAACGGGCGCUCAUCAAACUCUUCUUCCAGUAGGAACAUGAUCGUGCAGCCUGAGGUCCUGAUCCGCCAGUUGUGCACCUUCAUACAACGGAAUGGUGGCUCCGCCAGCUCGACGAGCUUGACGGAACAUUUCAAGAACCGCAUACAACCAAAGGAUAUGCUGGUGUUCAAGAACCUGCUCAAGGAGAUAGCAACUUUGCAAAGGGGCGCAGGCGGCGCAACGUGGGUGCUGAAACCUGAGUAUGGGUAA